AGAACGAAGAAUGUUUGUGAUGG
rnacentral:piRNA from 1 species